rnacentral:rRNA from 1 species
AUACGUAGGUCCCGAGCGUUGUCCGGAUUUAUUGGGCGUAAAGCGAGCGCAGGUGGUUUAUUAAGUCUGGUGUAAAAGGCAGUGGCUCAACCAUUGUAUGCAUUGGAAACUGGUAGACUUGAGUGCAGGAGAGGAGAGUGGAACUCCAUGUGUAGCGGUGGAAUGCGUAGAUAUAUGGAAGAACACCAGUGGCGAAGGCGGCUGUCUAGUCUGUAACUGACGCUGAGGCUCGAAAGCAUGGGUAGCGAACAGGAUUAGAUACCCUGGUAGUCCACGCCGUAAACGAUGAGUGCUAGAUGUAGGGAGCUAUAAGUUCUCUGUAUCGCAGCUAACGCAAUAAGCACUCCGCCUGGGGAGUACGACCGCAAGGUUGAA